UGGUUUUUGCAUGCCAUUUCUGUUAUCUUUUUAAUUACUUAUAGUUCCCAUCCUGGAAUUAAUUAUCCUUUUCAGUUUGCAGAAAAAACCAGAAGACAGAAAAUCAGCACGUCAACUUUUGGAAGAUCCUUUCUUGAAAACGUAUGAAAGUCAGCGAGUAGAUCUCCCAGCUUUCUUCAAAAAUGCUCUCCACUCUUCUGAAACUUAUGAGGCAAUUGAGAAGUCGAUUUGUCCAGAAUCAGCUUUUCCGGUUGAACUAGAGUCAAAGGAAGAGGCACCAACUCCGAAAAGAAAAUCACAUGUACUACUCGGGUUGUCAUUAUAUGACUCUCUUUCUCUAUGUACUAACCUCCGGAAAUCAGCCUGCCUCGAAGAGUGAAAUAACUACUGCUUCCAUGCCGUCUCCUCAGAUAGAACAAGCAACGUCUUCACCAAGAUCGAUGAACAUUAAAUACAUGGGUUCUGAGGUAGGAGUCUCUUCCAAGAGAAAGGAUAAAGAGGUGACAGAUGAACCAGAAAAAGUAGACUCGUCGCUUUCCAAGAAAUCUUCGCGGGUCAAUCUUCAACUUUUAGCUAUCCCUUCACACUGUCCACAGUCGGUGGUUCAGUCUGACCUGAGAGUGUCCGAUCUAUUGUGGCAAAUGUGGUCAUGGAAGUGUGCUAUCCCAAAACUGAUAAACCUAUAGUAAUUUCUCUUUAACCUCUUAUUUUUCAAUACCAGCAUGUAUGCCUCCAUGAUUUUAUUCCUAUUUUA